rnacentral:rRNA from 1 species
GUAGGUGGCAAGCGUUGUCCGGAAUUAUUGGGCGUAAAGCGCGCGCAGGCGGUUCUUUAAGCCUGAUGUGAAAGCCCACGGCUCAACCGUGGAGGGUCAUUGGAAACUGGAGAACUUGAGUACAGAAGAGGAAAGCGGAAUUCCACGUGUAGCGGUGAAAUGCGUAGAGAUGUGGAGGAACACCAGUGGCGAAGGCGGCUUUCUGGUCUGUAACUGACGCUGAGGCGCGAAAGCGUGGGGGAGCAAACAGGAUUAGAUACCCUGGUAGUCCACGCCGUAAACGAUGAGUGCUAAGUGUUAGGGGGUUUACCGCCCCCUUAGUGCUGCAGCUAACGCAUUAAGCACUCCGCCUGGGAGUACGGCCGCAGGCUG